rnacentral:rRNA from 1 species
GACGAACGCUGGCGGCGCGCUUAACACAUGCAAGUCGAACGGAAAGGCCCUGCUUUUGUGGGGUGCUCGAGUGGCGAACGGGUGAGUAACACGUGAGUAACCUGCCCUUGACUUUGGGAUAACUUCAGGAAACUGGGGCUAAUACCGGAUAGGAGCUCCUGCUGCAUGGUGGGGGUUGGAAAGUUUCGGCGGUUGGGGAUGGACUCGCGGCUUAUCAGCUUGUUGGUGGGGUAGUGGCUUACCAAGGCUUUGACGGGUAGCCGGCCUGAGAGGGUGACCGGCCACAUUGGGACUGAGAUACGGCCCAGACUCCUACGGGAGGCAGCAGUGGGGAAUAUUGCACAAUGGGCGGAAGCCUGAUGCAGCAACGCCGCGUGCGGGAUGACGGCCUUCGGGUUGUAAACCGCUUUCGCCUGUGACGAAGCGUGAGUGACGGUAAUGGGUAAAGAAGCACCGGCUAACUACGUGCCAGCAGCCGCGGUGAUACGUAGGGUGCGAGCGUUGUCCGGAUUUAUUGGGCGUAAAGGGCUCGUAGGUGGUUGAUCGCGUCGGAAGUGUAAUCUUGGGGCUUAACCCUGAGCGUGCUUUCGAUACGGGUUGACUUGAGGAAGGUAGGGGAGAAUGGAAUUCCUGGUGGAGCGGUGGAAUGCGCAGAUAUCAGGAGGAACACCAGUGGCGAAGGCGGUUCUCUGGGCCUUUCCUGACGCUGAGGAGCGAAAGCGUGGGGAGCGAACAGGCUUAGAUACCCUGGUAGUCCACGCUGUAAACGGUGGGUACUAGGUGUGGGGUCCAUUCCACGGGUUCCGUGCCGUAGCUAACGCUUUAAGUACCCCGCCUGGGGAGUACGGCCGCAAGGCUAAAACUCAAAGGAAUUGACGGGGCCCCGCACAAGCGGCGGAGCAUGCGGAUUAAUUCGAUGCAACGCGUAGAACCUUACCUGGGUUUGACAUGGAUCGGGAGUGCUCAGAGAUGGGUGUGCCUCUUUUGGGGUCGGUUCACAGGUGGUGCAUGGCUGUCGUCAGCUCGUGUCGUGAGAUGUUGGGUUAAGUCCCGCAACGAGCGCAACCCUUGUUCACUGUUGCCAGCACGUUAUGGUGGGGACUCAGUGGAGACCGCCGGGGUCAACUCGGAGGAAGGUGGGGAUGACGUCAAGUCAUCAUGCCCCUUAUGUCCAGGGCUUCACGCAUGCUACAAUGGCUGGUACAGAGAGUGGCGAGCCUGUGAGGGUGAGCGAAUCUCGGAAAGCCGGUCUCAGUUCGGAUUGGGGUCUGCAACUCGACCUCAUGAAGUCGGAGUCGCUAGUAAUCGCAGAUCAGCAACGCUGCGGUGAAUACGUUCCCGGG